UCUCUGGAAAAACUCACUGUUUACUGGUGAAUAGGAACAAAUGAGACCUGAUUGACAAUUGUUCUUGUUCAGCAGUAAGCAGUGGGUUUUCCCAGGGA